UACGUAGGGAGCAAGCGUUGUCCGGAAUCAUUGGGCGUAAAGCGCGCGUAGGCGGCCCUGUAAGUCCGUUGUGAAAGUCAAAGGCUCAACCUUUGAAGCCGAUGGAUACUGCAGGGCUAGAGUCCGGAAGAGGCGAGUGGAAUUCCUGGUGUAGCGGUGGAAUGCGCAGAUAUCAGGAGGAACACCAAUAGCGAAGGCAGCUCCGCUGGGACGGUACUGACGCUAAGGCGCGAAA
rnacentral:rRNA from 1 species